CCUUGUACACACCGCCCGUCACGGCAUGGGAGUUGGUUCUACCCGAAGGUAGUGCGCUAACCGCAAGGAGGCAGCUAACCACGGUAGGGUCAGCGACUGGGGUG
rnacentral:rRNA from 1 species